rnacentral:lncRNA from 1 species
CUUCCUCUCGCGCUUGGUAUCCGCUGCCUCUUUACCCCUUCCCCUCCUUAUUGUCCCCCUCAUGCCUUUCUAGGUUCACGGACUCUCUAAAUGUUUCUUAGAUACGUCCGCACUACGUUUCCAUCACCCCUCACUCCUGUGGUCUCACACUUUGACCUCCUUAAUUCUUGUUAAUUCACUUUGGUUUCCCCUGCGCAGUCUCUGCAAACAGCAAGUUAAUUUGUACCUCUCAGACUUGCGAGAAUAAAAUGAGACAACGUAUGACAAGCACUGACAAAAACACUUGGCACAUGUCAUCUGUAGCACUAUUUGUAAAUAGUCUGGACUCAGUGGAACCUGCUGUCUUAUGAAUAUAAUAUUUUUAACAAGACAGAAACAUGUUCAAAAGUUUGUGUAAAAUUUUAUGAUAUAGCAAGUGAAGAUCGAAAGAAAAGGCUGGAGUUUUUGAAGAAAGGAACACAGCUGAAUUAUCAAUGUCACUGGAAAACAAACAUAUCAAGUGGGAUUCUAGAUGGGAUUACAUUUUGGAGUCUAUGCCUCAUCCCCACAUCCAGUGGCUUAGUUCUGGCCUGUCUUGGUUUCCCUUCCCCUGCCAAUCGAAGUCUUUAAUGACCUGUGCUGUUUUGUCAUGGGUCCUUCUGGGAACCUCUGCUGGAUACGUGUCUGCUAAAAUGUAUAAGAGCAAGCAUUACAACUCUUUAUUUUGCUGGUUAGGUAUCCAGUUUGCACAAACCAGAUUCCACGUCAGAUUCCUCAACAGAUUUUCUCUAGAAAAUGACUUUUGGCAUCAUAUCAGUGGCAUUUUCCCUUUUGGCUGUAUUUUUAUUCAACUCUUUUUCCUUCUGAACAGUGUUUGGAACAGUCGGAUUUUUUUCCUGCUUCUGUUUUAUUAUCAAAAUCUACAGUGUGGUGAAAGUGGAUUAAAGAAUGUCCCCAGAGGCUUCCAGGCACAUCACCCUUGCUUUUGAAUAUACAUCUGUAUCUAUA